AAACUUAAAAUACUCAAAACAGCUUAAAACAACCAAAUAAACUUAAACUAGACACUAGGAAUGACUUUCGACGAAAAUUGACUUUUACUUGAAUCAAAACACUUAAGAACAUAACUAAAACAGAUUUGAAACACUUUGAAACAAGAAACUAAAAGGGGGGGGUUUUGAUUUGGAUGACGUUGAAACAAACAAACAAGUAUGAAAAAUUAGACAGAUUGUAAAACAAAUGUGAGAAAUAAGAUGAUGGAUGAGAUAGCUAGAGGCUUUUUCUCCACACAUGACUUGUAUGCAAAUAACUCGAUUUCCAGUUACUACUUCAUUGAAUUAUGAACGAGAAUGCUCCAAAUUAACCGUGACAUCACUAGUUAACUCUCAAAUUUUCCUUGUUUUAUUGGAUUAGAUGACAUCAUUCGACAACCCAAAACAUUCUUCUAAAGUUACCUACAUGACAUCAUAAUAGAGAUACAAUCAAAGAUCAUUACGUUUAAUGAAAAUCAUAAGCAUUGACAAAGCACUUGCAACUAUGACAUCAUGUUACUCAUGCUAGGAAUUAAACUUAACGUGAUCGUUUAUAAGCGACCUCUACUACUUAUGAAUAUAAGUUUGUAAUGAUUAUAUGAAACUUUCUUAUAUUCUAGCAUCGGAUUUAUGCAUGCCAAUUAAGUGUCGACCCUUAAUCAACAAAAACAAAUAAGUUAUCAAUCAAAUAGUUAAGCCAAUUGCAUUUACGAUUCAAGUGUUCAUAACUGGAAUUUAUCAAAUCAUAUUACACACAUAAUCAUGGCUUUGAAAUCACCCUAGCCAAGAGGGGUUUAGCCACUCAUAUUCACAACAAAACAAAAGAAAAUGAAUAUAAACAUUGGAAACAAAAGAAAGAUAACACCAAAAUGCUCCAACGAUCCAAGUUGGACAGCAAGCACAUCCAAACACUUUCCUUCCCUUCCUUUGCUAUGGCACAAGGUGUUGGUAAGUGUUUGAAGGUUUGUUUGUAUGGAGGAAAGGAUGUGAAGAUGAAUGGAUGUGUUUGGAUGAAGGUUGUAUUGAAUGCGGCAAAGAGUGGAAAAUUGUGUAGAUGAUGUGUGUGUAUGUUUUUGGAUUGAUAUAUUUAUAGGCUAGGGAGAGGAUGUAAUGGGUGGUGGUAAUGGGUGGAUGUAGUGGUAGGUGA
rnacentral:lncRNA from 1 species